rnacentral:tRNA from 1 species
GGGCGUAGUUCAAUGGUAGAACGGAAGCUUCCCAAGCUUUUAACGCGGGUUCGAUUCCCGUCGCCC